UUUUUUUUUUCUUUUUUUUUUUUCUCUUUUUUUUUCUUUUUUUUUUUUAUACAAAAAGGCCAGCCGUAAGGCUAGCCUAAUUGAAAUCAUUCAUAUCGAAAAAAAAGAGCUUAUGCGUCU
rnacentral:ribozyme from 1 species